rnacentral:rRNA from 1 species
UACGAAGGGGGCUAGCGUUGUUCGGAAUUACUGGGCGUAAAGCGCACGUAGGCGGAUUGUUAAGUCGGGGGUGAAAUCCUGAGGCUCAACCUCAGAACUGCCUUCGAUACUGGCGAUCUUGAGUUCGGAAGAGGUUGGUGGAACAGCUAGUGUAGAGGUGAAAUUCGUAGAUAUUAGCUAGAACACCAGUGGCGAAGGCGGCCAACUGGUCCGAUACUGACGCUGAGGUGCGAAAGCGUGGGGAGCAAACGGG